GUGUAUGUAUGAUCAUAAAUUAUGACUGAGAAUUCUAUUUUAGCAUUUUGUGGAUCCCAGUGGUCCCACUGAGGAAUAUCCAGAUCCAAUACCUUCUGAUGGUUCAAACAUUAGAAAAAGCAGACGUCAUUGGAGAGAACGAAGCGGGCCAUACCAUAAUAUUCAACAAAAUUCACAUACAACAACUGCAAGUGAUACAUGUACAACCUCGCCUAAAGAAUGUAUUGAUGAGAUUGGGGAGUCGUCAUUGGAUAGGGGGCCAACUCCAGCUGAAAAUUGUUUUGAAGGGCUAUCAUUACUUGCAGAUUCAUGUUAGAUAGACCAUCUAAUGCAGAAAAAGCUACAAGAGACAGAGGAAAAACUUCAUCAUCAGACAAUUCUUAACCAGCAUUUAAACUUACAAUUAUCAACCGUUCGAAAUCAACCAGAAGUUCAAAUUGAA